rnacentral:rRNA from 1 species
GACGAACGCUGGCGGCGUGCCUAAUACAUGCAAGUAGGACGCAGUUGCGAACGGGUGAGUAACGCGUAGGUAACUGCCUAUUAGAGGGGGAUAACUAUUGGAAACGAUAGCUAAUACCGCAUACUAGUAGAUGGACCUGCGUUGUAUUAGCUAGUAGGUAGGGUAAUGGCAUACCUAGGCAACGAUACAUAGCCGACCUGGGAGGGUGAUCGGCCACACUGGGACUGAGGCACGGGCCAGACUCCUGAGGGAGGCAGCAGUAGGGAAUCUUCGGCAAUGGGGGGAACCCUGACCCAGCAACUCCGCGUGAGUGAAGAAGGUUUUCGGAGCGUAAAGCUCUUUUGUUAAGGAAGCGGUACUUAACCAGAAAGGGCCGGCUAACUACGUGCCAGCAGCCGCGGUAAUUC